GCGGCGCGCUUCGGUGUGCUGCGGGUGGCAUCUCAAUGGACC
rnacentral:rRNA from 1 species